AUACUUUCCUGGCAGGGGACAUACCAUGAUCACAAGGGUGGUUUUCCCAGGGCGAGGCUUUGUGCUGACCCCUGCGAUUUCCCCAAAUGCGGGAAACUGCAUAAUUUGUGGUAGUGGGGGACUGCAUUCCUGCUCUCCCCUG
ensembl:snRNA Gm22126 predicted gene, 22126